GGGGGAGGAGCCAAGACAGCAGAACAGCAUGGAAGUUUUUUCUGUGUCUGGUGUCCAUGAGAUACCACCAGACCAACAAUAAACCAUCUUGCACACCUAGAAAACUGAUCUGAGGAAUAACACAACAAUCUGCACAACCUGAACCACGGAAUCAGCAGGUACGUGGCGCAGAGAGGUGAACUGGGGGAGAGAGAAGCUGUGGAGGGCAGGGAGCCACUUUUGCGGUGGAGAGAGGAUGGAGACUGGGGCGGAGAGGGGGGGUGGGGUGGGGACAGAAUAUGGGAAAACAUCCCCCCCAACCCACAAGCAGCUGGAGAGAAAGUGGAAAAGUGGAAACAGCCACAGGGACUGAACUAAAAAGGGAGAAAGGAGAAAGGAGAGGGUUUAAAUUCCAUUAAGACUAUAAACAGGGUGGGGCACAGAGUCUGAAACUCUGCAGCUCGAUACCUGGUGGUGCUCUGAUGGGAAGGGCAGAUCCUCAGGAGCAGAGUGGGGCCCGGGGUUCUUCAGGCCACAUGGGGAGAGGCGGUUCCCCUGCUGGGAGGACACCUGGUAGAGGCUGUGUGGGUCCCCAAAGGCAAGGCCCCAGUGGACCCGGGAGAACAGCCACAUUCACUGGUGCUGGAACAAGGUCGUUAAGGGUGAAGCCUGGUGCCAGGUGUGUGUUGUGAGUUUCCAUAGUCCCUGAAAUGCUGCUGCUGCACUAUCUCGCAAACCUUUUUUUGCACCCGGCCGCAGUCUCUUGGCUUCGGCAGCAGCAGGGUUCCGCGAAUGUUCCUGGGUGUGGCCGGCACAGGCCAGUGCUCGGUGAGAACGUCCGGCAGAGGAGCCGAGCGGGUCAGAGCUGUGGUCCCUCAGAAGUAAGGGAUCAGUAAACAUAGCCGCAUCUGAGAUAAAACUCAGGAGGGAAGGACUGCCUGGGGCUUAGUCAUCGUCAGUGUAAAAGCGGGGAGUGGUCAGAGGCCGAAGACAAAGGAUGGGUGCACAAUUGCCCAUCGGGGAGAACAGAGUUCGAUACUAGCGACUGAGUUGCUGGGUGUCAGGGCCACUGUUCCUGCGCAUGCGCAUAGGUACCUACGAGCACCAAAGCAAUCCUCCCCAGUAAGCUAAGCAGCGCCAUCUAGUGGAGAACGGAGCCGUUACACUAAGCCCUGCCCAACUGGGCCAACCUCACUCUUCAGGAACACAAGUCUCUCCCCCUGCUUAGUUUAUGGACUAUAACGUGCUUCAUAGUUUGACUUAUAGGGGAAAACAAAGUAAUUUCAGUAGUAUUUCAGUCUAUUUGCCGGUCCAUCUAUUCAAUUUUCUUUCUUUUUCUUCCCUUUUUUCUUUUUUCUCUUUUUCGUUUCUUUUCUUUUUCUUGAAUACAGAAAAAUCAUUUUUAUUUUCAAUUUUUAUUAAAAAUAGUUUUCUUUCAUUUUUUUACUAUAUUUUUACUUUUGUGUAAAUUUUUUCAAAUUCUAUUUUACUUCCAUCAUUUCAUUUUAGUCUAUUCAGUGUAUUCAUUUUUUCACAUUUUCAAACUAUUUCCUUUUUUUUCCUAUUUUUCUUUCCCCCUUUUUUUGUAAUCUAUCAAGCCCUUUUCAACACCCAGACAAAAACACACCUAGGAUCUAGCAUCAUUUAUUUGAUUUGUGUGUGUGUGUGUUUUUAAUUUUUUAAUUUUAAUAUUUUUUAAUUUUAUUUUUUUUAUUUAAUUAUUUUACCUAAUUAAUUCUUUUUCUCCCUUCAAAAUGACAAAGCAAAGGAAUUCACCCCAAAAGAAAGAGCAGGAAGAAACGACAGCCAGGGACUUAACCAACACAGAUACAAGCAAAAUGUCUAAACCAAAAUUUAGAAUCACAAUAAUAAGAAUACUAGCUGGGAUUGAAAACAGAUUAUAAUCCCUUUCUCUGGAGAUAAAAGAAGUAAAAGCUAGUCAGGAUGAAAUAAAAAAUGCUAUAACUGAGCUGCAAACUUGAAUGGAGGCCACAGCAGCAAAGAUGGAUGAGGCAGAACAGAGAAUCAGCAAUAUAGAGGUCAAACUUAAAGAGAAUAAUGAAGCAGGUUUGCUCCCUCCCUCUCUAACUUUUUUCCCCCCUUCCCCUACCCCAUGGUCUUCUGCUAAGUUUUCCAGGAUCCACAUAAGAGAAAAAACAUGGUGCCUGUCUUUCUCUGUAUGACUUAUUUCACUUAGCAUAACACUUUCCAGUUCCAUCCACGUUGCUACAAAAGGCCAUAUUUCACUCUUUCUCAUUGCCACAUAGUAUUCCAUUGUGUAUAUAAACCACAACUUCUUUAUCCAUUCGUCAGUUGAUGGACAUUUAGGCUCUUUCCAUAAUUUGGCUAUUGUUGAAAGUGCUGCUAUAAACAUUGGGGUACAAGUGUCCUUAUGCAUCAGCACUCCUGUAUCUGUUGGGUAAAUUCCUAGCAGUGCUAUUGCUGGGUCAUAGGGUAGGUCUAUUUUUAAUUUUUUGAGGAAUCUCCACACUGUUUUCCAGAGCGGCUGCACCAGUUUGCAUUCCCACCAACAGUGCAAGAGGGUUCCCGUUUCUCCACAUCCUCUCCAGCAUCUAUAGUCUCCUGAUUUGUUCAUUUUAGCCACUCUGACUGGCAUGAGGUGGUAUCUCAGUGUGGUUUUGAUUUGUAUUUCCCUGAUGAGGAGUGACGUUGAGCAUCUUUUCAUGUGCCUGUUGGCCAUCUGGAUGUCUUCUUUAGAGAAGUGUCUAUUCAUGUUUUCUGCCCAUUUCUUCACUGGAUUAUUUGUUUUUNAUAACGGCUGCACCAGUUUGCAUUCCCACCAACAGUGCAAGAGGGUUCCCAUUUCUCCACAUCCUCGCCAGCAUCUAUAGUCUCCUGAUUUGUUCAUUUUAGCUGCUCUAACUGGAGUGAGGUGAUAUCUCAGUGUGGUUUUGAUUUGUAUUUCCCUGAUGAGGAGUAACGGUGAGCAUCUUUUCAUGUGUCUGCUGGCCAUCUGGAUGUCUUCUUUAGAGAACUGUCUGUUCAUGUCUUCUGCCCAUUUUUUUCACUGGAUUAUUUGUUUUUUGGGUGUGGAGUUUGGUCAGUUCUUCAUAGAUUUUGGACACUAGCCUUUUGUCCGAUAUGUCAUUUGCAAAUAUAUUUUCCCAUUCCAUCAGUUGCCUUUUAGUUUUGUUGAUUGUUUCCUUUGCAGUGCAGAAGCUUUUUAUCUUCAUGAGGUCCCAAUAGUUCAUUUUUGCUUUUAAUUCCCUUGCCUUUGGAGAAGUAUCAAGUAAGAAAUUGCUGCGGUUGAGGUCAGAGAGGUUUUUCUCCUGCUUUCUUCUCUAGGGUUUUGAUGGUUUCCUGUCUCACAUUCAGGCUCUUCAUCCAUUUUGAAUUUAUUUUUGUGAAUGGUGUAAGAAAGUGUUCUAGUUUCAUUCUUCUGCAUGUUGCUGUCCAUUUCUCCCAGCACCAUUCGUUAAAACAGCCAAGAAUUCUUUAUCCAUCAAGGCUGUCAUUCAAAAUAGAAGGAGAGAUAGAAAGUUUUCCAGGCAAACAAAAAUGAAAGGAGUUUGUGACCACUAAACCAGCCCUGCAAGAAAUUUUAAGGGGGACUCUCUGAGGGAGGAAAAGAUGAAAAAAAAAACAAAACACCAAACAAACAAAUAAAGACCAAAAGCAACAGAGACUAGAAAGGACCAGAGAGCACCACCAGAAACUCCAACUCUACAAGCAAGAUAAUGGCAAUAAAUUCCUAUCUUUCCGUACUCACUCUAAACGUCAAUGGACUCAAUGCUCCAACCAAAAGACAUAGGGUAACAGAAUGGAUAAGAAAACAAGAUCCAUCCAUAUGGUGUUUACAAGAGACCCACUUUAGACCUAAAGACACCUUCAGAUUGAAAGUAAGGCGAUGGAGAACCAUCUAUCAUGCUAAUAGUCAACAAAAGAAAGCCAGAGUAGCCAUACUUAUAUCAGACAAUCUAGACUUUAAAAUAAAGACUGUAUCAAGAGAUGCAAAAGGGCAUUAUGUCAUAAUCAAGGGGUCUAUCCACCAAGAAGACCUAACAAUUGUAAACAUUUAUGUGCCAAAUGUGCAGGCACCCAAAUAUAUAAAUCAAUUAAUCACAAAUAUAAAGAAACUCGAUAGUAAUACCAUAAUAGUCAGAGACUUCAACACCCCACUCACAGCAAUGAACAGAUAAUCUAAUAAAAAAAUCAACACGGAAACAAUGGCUUUGAAUGACACACUGGACCAAAUGGACUUAACAGAUAUAUUCAGAACAUUUCAUCCUAAAGCAGCAGAAUAUACAUUAUUCUCCAGUGCACAUUGAAUAUUCUCCAGAAUAGACCAUAUACUGGGACACAAAUCAGCCCUCAACAAGUGUAAAAAGAUCGAGAUCAUACUGUGCAUAUUUUCAGACCACAACGCUAUGAAACUCAAAAUCAACCACAAGAAAAAAUUUGGAAAGAUAACAAAUACUUGGAGACUGAAGAACAUCCUACUAAAGAAGGAAUGGGCCAACCAAGCAGUUAAAGAGGAAAUUAAAAAGUACAUGGAAGCCAAUGGAAAUGAUAACACCACAGCCCAAAACCUCUGGGAUGCAGCAAAGGUGGUCACAAGGGGGAAGUAUAUAGCAAUCCAGGCCUUUCUAAAGAAGGAAGAAAGGUCUCAGAUGCAUAACCUAACCUUACACCUUAAAGAGCUGGAAAAGGAACAGCAAAUAAAACCGAAAACCGGCAGAAGACAGGAAAUAAUGAAGAUUAGAGCAGAAAUCAAUGCUAUUGAAACCAAACAAACAGUAGAACAGAUCAAUGAAACCAGGAGCUGGUUCUUUGAAAGAAUUAACAAAAUUGAUAAACCACUAGCCACUUUGAUCAAAAAGAAAAAGAAAAGGACCCAAAUAAAUAAAAUCAACAAUGAAAGAGGAGAGAUCACAACCAACACAGCAGAAAUACAAACAAUAUAAGAGAAUAUUAUGAGCAAUUGUAUGCCAAUAAAGUGGGCAAUCUGGAAGAAAUGGAUAAAUUCCUAGAAACAUAUACACUACCAAAACUGAAACAGGAAGAAAUAGAAAAUUUGAACACACCCAUAACCAAAAAGAAACCGAAUUAGUAAUCAAAAAUCUGCCAAAAAAAAAAAAAAAUACAAGAGUUCAGGGCCAGAUGGCUUUCCAGGGGAAUUCCAUCAAACACUUAAGGAAGAGUUAACACCUAUUCUCUUGAAUCUUGAAGCUGUUCCAAAAAAUAGAAAUAGAAGGAAAACUUCCAAACUCUUUCUAUGAAGCCAGCAUUACCUUGAUUCCAAAACCAGACAAAGACCCCCCACUAAAAAGGAGAACUAUAGACCAAUUUCCCUGAUGAACGUGGAUGCAAAAAUCCUCAACAAGAUAUUAGCCAACCGGAUCCAAUAAUACAUUAAAAAAAAUUAUUCACCACGACCAAGUGGGAUUUAUACCUGGGAUGCAGGGCUGGUUCAAUAUCUGCAAAACAAUCAGUGUGAUCCAUCACAUCAAUAAAAGAAAGGACAAAACCAUAUGAUCCUCUCAAUAGAUGCAGAGAAAGCAUUUGACAAAAUACAGCAUCCUUUCUUGAUCAAAACCCUCAAGAAAGUAAGGAUAGAAGGAUCAUACCUCAAGAUCAUAAAAGCCAUAUAGGAAAGACCCAACACUAACAUCAUCCUCAGUGGGGGAAACUGAGAGCUUUCCCCCUAAGGUCAGGAACAAGACAGGGAUGUCCACUCUCNNNNNNNNNNNNNNNNNNNNNNNNNNNNNNNNNNNNNNNNNNNNNNNNNNNNNNNNNNNNNNNNNNNNNNNNNNNNNNNNNNNNNNNNNNNNNNNNNNNNNNNNNNNNNNNNNNNNNNNNNNNNNNNNNNNNNNNNNNNNNNNNNNNNNNNNNNNNNNNNNNNNNNNNNNNNNNNNNNNNNNNNNNNNNNNNNNNNNNNNNNNNNNNNNNNNNNNNNNNNNNNNNNNNNNNNNNNNNNNNNNNNNNNNNNNNNNNNNNNNNNNNNNNNNNNNNNNNNNNNNNNNNNNNNNNNNNNNNNNNNNNNNNNNNNNNNNNNNNNNNNNNNNNNNNNNNNNNNNNNNNNNNNNNNNNNNNNNNNNNNNNNNNNNNNNNNNNNNNNNNNNNNNNNNNNNNNNNNNNNNNNNNNNNNNNNNNNNNNNNNNNNNNNNNNNNNNNNNNNNNNNNNNNNNNNNNNNNNNNNNNNNNNNNNNNNNNNNNNNNNNNNNNNNNNNNNNNNNNNNNNNNNNNNNNNNNNNNNNNNNNNNNNNNNNNNNNNNNNNNNNNNNNNNNNNNNNNNNNNNNNNNNNNNNNNNNNNNNNNNNNNNNNNNNNNNNNNNNNNNNNNNNNNNNNNNNNNNNNNNNNNNNNNNNNNNNNNNNNNNNNNNNNNNNNNNNNNNNNNNNNNNNNNNNNNNNNNNNNNNNNNNNNNNNNNNNNNNNNNNNNNNNNNNNNNNNNNNNNNNNNNNNNNNNNNNNNNNNNNNNNNNNNNNNNNNNNNNNNNNNNNNNNNNNNNNNNNNNNNNNNNNNNNNNNNNNNNNNNNNNNNNNNNNNNNNNNNNNNNNNNNNNNNNNNNNNNNNNNNNNNNNNNNNNNNNNNNNNAAUAACACCAGCAUUCUUCACAGAGCUAGAACAAAUGAUCCUAAAAUUUGUAUGGAACCAGAAAAGACCCUGAAAUAGCCAAAGCAAUCUUGAAAAAGAAAACCAAAGCAGGAGGCAUCACAAUCCCAGACUUCAAGCUGUAGUACAAAGCUGUAAUCAUCAAGACAGUAUGGUACUGGCAUAAAAACAGACACUCAGAUCAAUGAACAGAAUAGAGAACCCAGAAAUGUACCCACAAACGUAUAGCCAACUACUCUUUGACAAAGCAGGAAAGAAUAUCUAAUGGAAUAAAGACAGUUUCUUCAGCAAAUGGUGCUGGGAAAACUGGACAGCGACAUGCAGAAGAAUGAACCUGGACCACUUUCUUAUACCAUACACAAAAAUAAACUCAAAAUGGAUGAAAGACAUAAAUGUAAGAUGGGAAGCCAUCAAAAUCCUCAAGGAGAAAGCAGGCAAAAACCUCUUUGAUCUUGGCUGCAGCAACUUCUUACUCACCAUGUCUCUGGAGGCAAGGGAAACAAAAGCAAAAAUGAACUAUUGGUACCUCAUGAAGAUAAAAAGGUUCUGCACAACGAAGGAAACAAUUAGCAAAACUAAAAGGCAACUGACGGAAUGGGAGAAAAUAUUUGCAAACAACAUAUCAGAUAAAGCGUUAGUAUCCAAAAUCUAUAAUGAACUUAUCAAACUCAACACCCAAGAAACAAAUAACCUAGUGAAGAAAUGGGCAAAAGACAUGAAUAGACACUUCUCCAAAGAAGACAUCCAGAUGGCCAACCGACACAUAAAAAGAUGCUCCACAUGACUCAUCAUCAGGGAAAUACAAAUCAAAACCACAGUGAGAGACCACCUCACACCUGUCAGAAUGGCUAACAUGAACAACGCAGGCAACAACAGAUGUUGGCGAGGAUGAGGAGAAAGAGGAUCUUUUUUGCACUGCUGGUGGGAAUGCAAACUGGUGCAGCCACUCUGGAAAGCAGUAUGGAGGUUCCUCAAAAAAUUAAAAAUAGAACUACCCUAUGACUCAGCAAUUGCAUUACUACAUAUUUUCCAAGGGAUACAGGUAUGCUGUUUCAAAGGGACACAUGCACCCCAAUAUUUAUAGCAGCACUAUCAACAAUAGCAAAAGUAUGGAAAGAGCCCAAAUGUCCAUCGAGGGAUGAAUGGAUAAAGAAGAUGUGGUACACACACACACACACACACACACACACACACUGGAGUAUUACUUGGCAAUCAAAAAGAAUGAAAUCUUGCCAUUUGCAACUACGUGGAUGGAACUAGAGGGUAUUAUGCUAAACGAAAUUAGUUAGAGAAAGACAAACAUCACAUGACUUCACUCAUAUGAGGACUUUAAGACACAGAACAGAUGAACAUAAGGGAAAGGAAGCAAAAAUAAUAUAAAAGCAGGGAUGGGGACAAAACAGAAGAGACUCUUAAAUAUGGAGAACAAACAGAGGGUUACUGGAGGGGUUGUGGGAGUCGGGAUGGGCUAAAUGGGUAAGAGGCACUAAGGAAUCUACUCCUGAAAUCAUUGUUGCACUACAUGCUAACUAAUUUGUAUGUAAAUUAAAAAAAAUAAAAUUAAAAAAAAAAGGAUUACCAUAUGGUUGGGAAGACAAGAAUCACAAAGAAAGAUGAAACUGCAGAGAGGUGAUAUGGGAGCAGCAAAUGCUGAAGGAUUUCUUUAUACAGCCCAGUAGAAAUGACAUAUUAGUGACAACAGUGGAGGAAAACCAUGCUUCAAUAAGACAAACAAAAAUUCGAAUGAAUAAUGCUCAAUGUGGAAAAUUUGAAGAUUGAAAGAUAAGAGUAGAAAUAAAUCACAGACAAUCCCACUACCCACAGGUAAUCAGUGUUAAUAUUUUUAUGCAUUUCCCUUUGCCAGUGCAUAUUUUUAUGUUGUUUGUAUUUUUACUAUAUAUGUAAUUUUGCUUUAAGUAAAACUUCAAAUUGUGAAAUAAUUCAAACACAGAAAAUACCAACAUCAAGUGUAGUGGUUUAGAUUGGUGACAAUAGAAUGCCCCUUCACCCACUAUAAUAACAUUGGCUUAGACAAUGUAGGCAUUUAUUUUUCCUUCACAUUAAAGACACCUGUAGGUAGCUGGUCCAGUGCUGCUUUGACACUCCUACAACAUCAUCUUUAAUAACUCAACUUCUAGUUAUCUGCUGUGCCAUUCCUGAGAUGCCCUCAUGCUUACAAUAUGGCUGUUGGAGCUCCGGCAAUCACAUCCCACACCACAGGAAUGCCUCUUCCUCUUUUAAGAGACUUCUGAAAAGUUUCCUACAACAUUUUCACAUCUUACUGGCUCACAUUUAGUCAUGUGGCUACAUCUAAUUGCAUGGUGGGCAGAAAAUUAAGUCUUUUAUUCAAGGUGAUGAUGUAUCCAGGUAAAAAAUCUUUGCCACACCAUGGAACCACCAAACAGAUUUAACAUAUGAUAACACUUGGCUAAUUUGGAUCUGUUUUUAAAUUUUUUAAUAUUUGAAAUUAAGAAAUGAAGAAUUAAAGAUAUAGAUAGAUUCUACUUUCAUUGAGGAUGUAGAGAGCUAGCAGUGCCACUCCUGCCCAACAAGAAAAGGCGAGACAAACUACAAAAUCAUAACUUUUUUUUUUUUUUUUUAUUUAAAAAAAAUUUUUUUUUUCAACGUUUAUUUAUUUCUGGGACAGAGAGAGACAGAGCAUGAACGGGGGAGGGGCAGAGAGAGAGGGAGACACAGAAUCGGAAACAGGCUCCAGGCUCCGAGCCAUCAGCCCAGAGCCUGAUGCGGGGCUCGAACUCACGGACCGCGAGAUCGUGACCUGGCUGAAGUCGGACACUUAACCGACUGCGCCACCCAGGCGCCCCAAUCAUAACUUUUUUUGAAUCCAUUUGAGAACUGAGAUUGGAGUGUGAUAAAGUAGACUUCCAAGGAGAGACAGGGAGAGUCAGAAUACAAGCACUAGGCUUCCCUUGGCAGAGCCUUGGAGGAAGAAACACUGGUACCAAGCUAGUCAGUAAGAAGUCAACUAAAAUUUUCAAUGAGUUUUGGAAGGCUUAAUAUGGGUUACAAUGAUAGUAUAGAAAUCUUGGCAUACCCAGACACAAGGGAAGCUUGUACUCUUUAGUAGGUUCUUCACCAUGGACCUCUGUAGAGUGCUCACAAGAAAGAUUGAGGCAAAUAAGGGAGACCAGAAGAAGCUUGCCUGGGUUGUUUAGACCUUGAGGAGAUUGGUCACCACUGCAGGAGCCUUUCCUCCUGUGGAACUAAAUCUGUAAGCUGUUGAAAGAGGAGUGUUCACCCCCAGAAACACAGGUGAAGCCCCACUGUAGCUGGGGGAAAGGUAAAAGAAAAAAAUCAUUGUUAUUUCAGGGAAAAGGGUAGAAAAUAAUUCUAAGCAAGAGUCCUAGACCAAUAUCAUUAGUGGUCUCUUACUGGUAGGGAAGGUGCAGGAAGCUAUCUCCUGAACAAGACCUUCUAAAGGUAUAAAGCAGAGUUGUUUGCCAUGGGGAAGAAGGACAGAAUCACUAAGGAUGUGACACUUCUGAGACCCAGGCAUACAUGACCUUCCAGGAUAACAGAGAAUUUCCUCUUGACCCCGCUCUCUCACCCUAUUCAGGCUAGCAAGCACUGAGUAACAAGCAAUAGUAACUUACCACUGGGGUGGGAACAAAAGUAUCAAAGGAGAACUCCUGCAUGGUGCAGGCACACAGGGAAGGUUGAAAGCUAAGACUGGAACAAAAAUAUUGAGAAAAAUCCUCUGACAUCCGACUCCCACACUAAGCACAAGGUAACACUAGAGGAAUCUGAAGCCUGAAGGUAACCAUAGGAGCAAACAAAACUCAAACCCUACUCAAUAUCUGACUAGGUCAACAUGACCACCACACUAAUGACCUACCAAAAGAAGACAUGUGUCCAUUUCCCAGCAUAAAUACUAUCUACCUCAGUUGUUACUGUUCUAAACACACCAUCCAUUCAAUAAAAAAAUUAUAAGAUAUACAUAUAGGAAAAUAACCCACUGUUAAAAGACAAAGAUGAACAAAACCAAGCUCAGAGACUAUCCAAAUGUUGAACUAUCAGGGAGUUUAAAGUAACUAUGAUUAUGUGUUAAAGGCUCUAGUGGAAAAUGUGGACAGCAUGCAUGAAAAGAUGGGGGAUUUCAGCAGAGAGAUGGAAAAUAUAAGAAAGAGUCAAAUAGAACGCCUAGAAAUAAAAGCAAGGUAACAGAGAUGAAGAAUUCUGUCAAUGAGCAGUUCAGGGGACUUUAUGCUACCGAGGAAAGAAUGAAUGAACCUGAAGACAGGUCAAUACAAAUUACCCAAAUGAAAACAGGAGCCUUUCCUCCUGUGGAACUAAAUCUGUAAGCUGUUGAAAGAGGAGUGAAAGAGAAAAUAAAAACGAAAAAAAUUAAAAAGGCCCGAGCAUCUAAGAGUUAUAGGACAAUACCAAAUGAUCUAACAUACGUAAAACGGAAUCUUUGAAGAAGAGAGAAAGAAUGAGGUAGAAGAUAUGGACAAAAUUUACCACUCUUCAUCCCAUUUUCUUCCUUUUUUCUUCCUUCCUUUUCUCUCUCUCUCUCUUUUUCCCUCUCUCUUUCUUUCAGAUUUUAUUUUUAGUAGUCUCUAUGACUUGAACUCAUGACCCUGAGAUCAAGAAUCACAUGCUUCACUGACUGAGCCAGCCAAGCACUCCAUCCCAUUUUGUUUCUGUUCUCACCAGUAAUCAUGUGUCCUGAAGCUAGUGUGUAUCCUUCCCAUCAUGUUUUCAUAUUUCUUAGUAUACCUGAAUGUGUCUGAAACAAUAUAUGGUGUCAUUUUUGUUUUCAAAAUAUAUAGAAAUGACAUCGUGGUAUCUUUCUUUGCAAUUUAGUUUUUUUAAUUAUAAAAUUAAUAUUGGUUUAACUACUAUAUAAUGUCCCACUGGUUUAUUUAUCCAUUCCCCCAAUGAUGGAAAAAUAAGUUUAAUUUAUAAUAUUAUAAACAAUGCUGCAAUUAAUAUUUUUGCAUAUGAAUUCUUGUGAACAUGUGACUUCCAUAAUUUCUUCCUCAGCAUGUAAUUCUGAGUUGAAAACAAGCAGUUUUGAAUAUUACAUAAUGCCAUUAAAUUGUUCAUUAAAGCAACUGACUUGAUUUACACUUCUGCUAGCAAUGAACAGCACUGUUUUAUUCUCGACAUGUUCACACUUAGUAUUAUCGGACUCUUACUUGUUGCCAAGUUAUGGGUGUAAAAUUAUAUUUUAAUGUUGUUUUAAUUUUCAUUUCCCCUGAAUAUCUUCAAAAAAAUUUUUUUUAAUGUUUAUUUACAUUAAACAUUAAUGAGAGAAAGAGAGAGAGAGAGAGAUAGCGCAUGUGAGUGGGGAGGGACAGAGAGAGAGGGAGAGAGAAAAUCCCAAGUAGGAUCUGUGCUGUCAGCACAGAGCCCAAUGUGGGCCUUAAUCUCACAAAGUGUGAAAUCACGACCUGAGCCCAAAUUAAGAGUUGGAUGCUUAACUGACUGAGCCACCCAGGCACCCCUCCACUGAACAUCUUUUUUAUAUGUUCAUUGGAUGUUUCUGUUUCUGUUUAUGUAAACUGCCUGAUCAUAUCCUUUGUCCAUUUUAAUAUGACUGUCUUUAAAAUUUUUUUGUACUAUUUCUUUAUCUUAGUCAAUUAAUCUUUGUUGAUUAUAUGCUUAUCUAUGGCUGUCCUUUUAUUUUUGUUAUGGACCUUUUUUUUUUUUUUAUCCAGAGGUUAUAAUUGUAAUUUGUAAAGUGUACACUUUAUGGGUUGUGUUUUCUUUGUGUGUCUUAUGAAUUGCUUUCCUACUGUAGUAUCAUUAAGUUACAUUUUCUUAUAUUUUCUUCCAAAAGUGUUUUUCACAUUUGCGAUUUGUUUUAUGUGAGGUAGGGUCUAAUUUAUCACUUUCCGCAUGAUGCCAAUUAUCCCAGUAGUAUAUUUUAAAUUGUGUUUUCUUUCCCCAGUGGUUUCAAAUACCACUGCUGUUGAGUUCCAAGUUACCACUGAUAUGUGGGUGGGUCUGUUUCCAGUGUUCUUGUUCUGCCAGAGGUGUCUGGGCCCGCUGAAAACACAGCUGUGAGAAAUGAGGUUUUGAGGAACUUCGAUUCCCAGCGAACAUACUGGGCAUAGACUCAACAUACUUGGACCACUUCCAAAACACUACAGAUUGUCCCUGUCACUAAGUACAAGGUGCAGGUCACGUGCUGGAGACGUGCGUACGAUUCCAUGCUUUUGGGAAAAAGGUAAACGGAAUGUUAGCCUGUCCUGGUCCUAUGUCCCGCUACCUCUUUUCCUCUACCUUUAUCUGAAUUGCUGAAAUUUUCACCAUAGCCUAGGUUAUUAAAAAGUAAGCCAUGUGAUAGAAGAGGCAACAUACCUACUUAUCAGAGUAGGAAAUGGGUUUAAGGAAAUAGAACAGUUUCCUUUAUUUUUAUUUUUUUUCUCAUAGGGUAAUAGAAUGGGAGACUAGAAGAAAUCUUUGAGAUCGUCAGGUAUAUUUCUAAAUGGGUAGAGAAACCCAUGAAAAGAUGCCUGGGAAAGUUUAUAUUUAUACCAGUUGUUCCAGAAUAAUAAUCAACAGUACCUUCUUUCAGUAUCAAAACGUCUUGGUUUGGAUAAUAAAUUAUAUGAUCAUCCUAUUGCUGAGAAAACAGAUUCCUGUAAGUUAAAGGAUUAUGUUAAAAAAAUUUUUUUUAUUAGUCACAAAUGGAUACUGUUAACAACAGAUUUCCUUAAUGCUUCCCCUGGGAAAUAUAUUCAAUUGCAAGUAUAUCUAAAAAUUUUUCUUAGUAAGUAUGAUGUGAAUUUGAGGUCUGGACUAAAAAUACACCUGGGAAAGCACAAUUAAUAUUUAAUUGGUUUGAAGACACAGAAUGCGGUAACUACAUGGUUGAAGACAGAGCGAAACUAUACUCUAGGGGGUCUAGUCACCUACAGUUCCUCAUACAGAUACUGCAGGUGCUGUCAUGAGGCUGAACUUCAAGUCCCUUGACUGUUUAUUGCUCUUUCUAUGUUGCUUUCCUUGACAGUUUAUACCGUAGGGUCUGGCAAAAUGCUGGACUGAGCUAAUAUAUACCCCUACCUUCUAUUACAAAUGUAUAGAAAUGUUGGAUAUACUAUCUAUAUAUGUAGUUUAUCCAACAUGUGUAUACACAUAUAUACAUACAUACACACAUAUAAACUACAUGUAUAAUUCAUAAAAACGCAUACAUACAAUUCACACACAUUCCUAUAUAUUUACAUAAAAAUAAAGGUAAAGAAAAAAAUAAAGGUAAAGAAUGAUUUCUUAUGAAGAGCCAAAAAAUCAGUUAACCAGAAAGGAGUACGUUGCUAAAUGUAAGCAUAUUAAAGACUUUUCUAUUUAUCAAAAGACAACCAUUAAGAGAGUGAAGAUACGGGGCGCCUGGGUGGCUGAGUUGGUUAAGCCUCCGACUUCGGCUCAGGUCAUGAUCUCACAGUUUGUGGGUUUGAGCCCCGCACUGAGUUGUGCCGAAGGCUCAGAGCCUGGAGCCUGCUUCAGAUUCUGUGUCUCCCUCCCUCUCGGCCCCUCCCCUGCUCAUGCUAUCUCUCUCUCUCAAAAAUAAAUAAACAUUAAAAAAAUUAAAAAAAAAAGAGUGAAGAUACAUGCUACAGAAUGGGGAAAGAUAUUUGCCCCACACCUAAUUGACAAAUUAGUUGGAGUCAGUAGAAAAAGUCAACCAAAGAAUUGAACAGGGACUUUGGUAAAAAGAGGAAGCCAGCCAAGGUCAUUCUCUGUCUCCCUCUCUAACUCUAGAUGAAUGUAGGUGAGGGGUAUACAGAUGCUGAGCAUACUUUUCUUUUAACAUACUGGAAAAUUUAAAAUAAAACAUUGGGAAAAAUAAAAACAAAGCCACACUCAAAGAAAAAAAAUAAGAUUCCCAGAUGACACACAUGAAGAAGAGAACUCAGGAGGAGAGCAGAAAGUGUACCAGCUAAUGCUACAGCGACUUAGGGAAGACCAGAUUUUGAUAUGAGCCCUGGGAACUUGGGGCUGGGGACUGAACUCCCCUGGAGUGACAGGAAGCAUGUGACACAAAGAACUACUUCAUCCAAACCUCCAGAUAAAACCAGAUUGCAAGGAAUGGCGGUUUUCUCCAAAAAAGGGGACUGGAAGAAUCUUCCCAGUAUCCUAAGAAAGCAGCCAGAAAGCAGGUCUCUGUCUGACGUUCUGGGUAGAGAAAAAAUCUCUCCUGAAGAACUCAAACAGCAUUCCUGUGCCACAUGUGAAUGUUGAAUCCAAAUUCUGUUAACUACAUUAUAAAUGUUUAUUUAUCUAUCUUCAUUUUUGAGACAGAGAGAGACAGAGCAUGAGCGGGGGGGAGAGGCAGAGAGAGAGGGAGAUACAGAAUCAGAAGCAGGAUCCAGGCUCCGAGCUGUCAGCACAGAGCCCGACGCGGGGCUCGAACUCAUCAACUGCGAGAUCAUGACCUGAAGCAAAGUCAGACGCUCAACUGACUGAGCCCCCCAGGCACCCCAUGUUAAUUACAUUAUAGAUAGCCUGGCUUCAGACAGACGAACUCUCUACAGUAUUCAACAGAAGCAAAUAUAAAGCUACCCUAAAGGGAUACUUUCAUAACCUAAGGGGCAUGAGGUUUCCAGUAAGUCUUAAGUCAUGGCAAAAAAAAAUAACAGUCCAUGUAAGGAAACCAUCCACCAUGAGGAAUAAUUGCUAGGCACAGCGUGGGGAAGGGUUAGUACCUUAAGGACUUAAAAUUGUAUACUAAUGUGAAAGAGAAGGUCACUUAAGAAUCCUUAGAACAAUCAAAUAGAUUAUAGCGGAAGAAGGGGAUACUAUAAGAAAAGAUACAUUUGGAAAAUAUAUCUUUUUUUUUUUUUUUUUUAGGUAGCUUUCAUGCCCAGCAUGGAGCCCAAUGUGGGUCUUGAACUCAUGACCCUGAAGUGAACACCUGAGCUGAGGUCAAGAGUCAGAGGCUUAGGGUGGCUCAGUCGGUUAAGCGUCCGAUUUCAGUUCAAGGCAUGGUCUCACGGUUUGUGGGUUUGAACCCCACAUCAUGUUCGGAGUCUGGAGCCUGCUUUAGGUUCUGUGUCUCCCUCUCUCUGCCCCUCCCCAACUCACACUCUGUCUCUCUCAAAAAUUAAUAAACAUUAAAAAAAAAUUUUUAAAAGGAGUCAGAUGCUUAACUGACUGAGCCAUGAAGGCACCCCCAAAUGAAACUUUUAACAAUUAAAAAUAGAAUUUCUCAAAAAAAAUUUUUUUUCUCGUUGAAAUUAGAAAAGCCCUCUGUGGACGGGAUAAAUAGCAGGUUACACACGUCUGAUGAAAUAAUUAGUGAACUGGAAGUUUGUUCUGAGGAAAUUGCCCAGAAUGCCACAGAGAGGUUACGAAAUGGGAAAGAUGAAAGGAAGCUGUGAGGUGGGAAGAGAAUGAUCACGGAAUGAGGUACACCGACACGUGUCCAACUGAGGUUUCAGAAGGACAGAAGAGAAAGAAACUGGGAAAAGCAAUAUUUAAAAUGAUGACGACAGAGAACUUUCCAGAAGAAUAGACAGGUCUAACUGGAGGUGAAAAUGAGAUUCUUUUGUAGUUUCAGCCGGAUCGAAAGAUGGAGAACAAGUCAAUAGGUGACAAGGGUGACCCAGUUUCAAAGUUAGCUUCUUGGUCACGAAUGCAGGCCACACUAACAGAUUGCAAAACUGGUUCUGACAAUAUGAGUCAGUUCCUGACUUUGGACCUACACACAACAUGAAAGAUGAAGAGGCUGGGAGAGGGAAUUGUUAGCAGUUACCAAUAGGCUGUAUUUUCAUGACCAUUCACGGAGGAGGAGCAUGUCGUCGCGUCCCCCUAUUUCAAACCGAGCAGUUGGACGCGGCCCCCUGUUUCAAGCUGAGAGAAAGUGACCUCAGUGGUGCUGCUUGGCAGGCCUGACAUGUGUUUCCUGAGGUUGGAGGAUCCUACGGAGGAUGUAGGACUCAUUCCUGAAGAAUCUAAAACCAAGAGGCCGUGGUAGGGCCACUCCUGCCUGGUAGUGGAGAGACAAGCGGUGGCUGCCCUGUGUGGACCGAUCUGCACUUCCGUUAACGAUGGGCAAAGAUGUCUGCUUUCCAAGCAGUGGAAGGGAAGAUGUGAAUGUGAAUACAUUUAUAGUUUGAAAAUUAUAGUGGACCUGGGGAGCCUGGGUGGCUCCGUCGGUUGAGCCAACUUUGGCUCAGAUCAUGUCAGGAUUCGUGAGUUUGAGCCCCUCAACAGGCUCUGUGCUAUCAGUUCAGAGCCUGCUUCGGAAUCCUCUGUCCUCUCUCUCUCUGCCCCUCCCCUGUGCUCUCUCUCUCUCUCUCUCAAAUAAAUAAACAUUAAAAAAUUAUACUGGACUAGCCCCCAAUUAUGCCACUGUUAGGUUAUUAUUUGAGAUUUCAUGUAGGAAUGGGGAAGGAACUGCAGAGAAAGUUUGAAUGGACUGAAGAAAAGAAUGAAAUUAACUUUUUCUUAUACCUUUCUGGGUCUAGCUUCAUGAAAACACUGUUUGUUUGUGUUUUUUUAAUGUUGAUUUAUUUUUUGAGAGAGAAACAGAGUGUGAGCCAGGGAGGAGCAGAGAGAGAGGGAGACACAGAAUCCAAAGCAGGCUCCAGGCUCUGAGCUGUCAGCACAGAGCCCGACACGGGGCUCUAACCCAUGACCCAUGAGAUCAUGACCUGAGCCAAAGUCAGACGCUUAACCAACUGAGCCACCCAGGUGCCCCAUGAAAACACUAGUUUAAUAUGAAUCUUUAAAUUGUGGGAUUACAAAAGUCACAGAUAAUAUAAACUUAACUUUCCAGACAAGGAUGUAUAACCUGAAUCUAAUGAAGAAACAUUAGAGAAACCCAAAUGAGGAACAUUCUAUUUAAAAAUUCGGGAGGGGCAUGUAAUAAAAUGGUCCGUGUGAUAAAAGACAGAAAAAGGCUGCGUAAAGAGUCUGGAGUCAUGAAGGCUAAAGAUUCAUGGCAGCUAAUCAAUAUCUAAGACUAGAUUGGAUUGUGCACUUUGGGGGUGGGGGAGAUGAUGCUGUACAGGGCAUUACUGGGUCAUUCAAAAAGAAACAAUAAGAAUUGAAAGAUUAAAUACAAUGUAUCAUUUUUAAAAGUUUAUUUAUUUGAGAGAGAGAGAGAGGGAAAGAGUGAGCAUGAGCAAAGGUGUGUGUGUGUGUGUGGGGGAGAGAGAGAGAGAGAGAGAGAGAGAGAGAGAAUCCCAAACAAGUUCCAUGCUCAGCACAGAGCCCCAUGCAAGGCUCAAUUCAAGAAGUAUGAGAUACUGACGUGAGCUGAUAUCAAGAGCUGGACACUUAACCGACUGAACCUCUCAGGCACCCCAGUACAAUGUAUCAUUCUUAAAUUUACUACAGUUGAUAAGUAUACUGAGGGCUAUAUAAGAGAACGUCCAAGGAAAUAUAUAGUAGAGUAUUUAGGGGUGAAGAGCAUGAUAUAUAUGACUUACCUUCUUCAAAUGAUUUGGGAAAAAUGUGUGUGUGUGUGUGUGUGUGUGUGUGUGUAAAGAGAACAAAUAAUAAAUGGAGUAAAAUGUUGACAGUUGGUGAAUUUACAUAACAGUAUAUGCGUAUUCUUGUACGAUAUUUUGCACAUUUUCUUUAAAUUUGAAACUGUUUUCCAACAUUCGAAAAACAAACACAAACAAAUAAAUAAGGAACCAGAGAGACAAAACAGAUCAUCCACGGAGGAGAUUAUGUUGUGGACAUAAAUGAUAGUUUAUCCUAGCUAAACUAUCAUUCAGGGGGCAUGGGGCAAAUAAAACAUUGAAAAAAUAAAAAUACUUACAUAACAAUUUCUUUUAUUUGUAAGUAAUCUCUACACCCAAUGUGGGGGUUGAACUCACCACCCUGAGAUCAAGAGUCGUAUAAUCCACUGACGGGGCCAGUCAGGUGGCCCCAGAAUACUUACAUGAUGAUUAAAACAAUCACUCACUGGUUCUUGCUGAGUCACUAAAGGGUGGGCUUCAAGGAGAAAGAUACAGUUCAGAGAAAGAAGGGAGAAGUAAGGAUACAAAGUUCAGCAAAGCAAUUAGUAAGUGUGAGCAAAUCUAAAUAAACUGUUUAAAAAAUUUUUUUAAUGAUUUUAUUUUUGUGGUUAAAGAUGUGGAAUUAAUACUUUAUUUGGUUUUGUUUUUUAAAUAAUUUUUUAAGGUUUACUCAUUUAUUUUUGAGAGAGAGAGAGAGAGAGCACACAGGAAGGGCAAAGAGAGAGGAAGAGAGAGAGAGAGAGAGAGAGAGAGAGAGAGAGAAUCCCAAGCAGGCUCCACACUGUCAGUGUGGAGCCUGAUGUAGGGCCUGAAUCCGCAAACUGUGAGAUCAUGACCUGAGCCGAAAUCAAGAGUUGGGCACUUAACUGACUAAGCCAUCCAGGGGCUCCAGGAACUAGACAGCAAUAACAUGAAAGAUGGGAGAGGAUGAUUCAGAGUGAAAACAUUUUAAUAUCCUAAUAUUUUCUUGAUGGUAACCAUGCAGUGUUAAUGAUUUAAGAUAAAAGAAAAGAAACAGAAUCUGUAAUUUCUUAGAUGGUUAGAGGAAACUAAGAUGAUAAAGAAAACAUGAUACUCACCAUCCCCCCACCCCCCAUACACCGCCCAAAGGGCAGGAAAGGAAAGGCAUAAAUCGAAAAAAACACAAAAUAAGAAUGGUGGAAAUGAAUUCAAAUAUAUUGGUAAUCACAGGCAAUGUAAAUAUUCAUGGGAUGGAAAAGCACAUAGAAGUCAAAACAAACGAACCAGAUCUGCCUGGGUACCAACAGCAGCCUCAGAAACAUUGUACUCGAUGCACAAUGUGUUAGGAUACACACAAUUUGGAACCACUUUGUAAAAUACAAAGUGACACAAAACAAUGUUAUUUAUUGUUUGUGGAUAUAAACACACGUAGCAGCACAGGGAAUGGAGUAAUACACACCAAUUUAGUGACGAUCUCAGGAGGAGAUGAGAGUGGAGGGAUGGGGGAAGGUGAGAGAGUGUCCCUAACUUGAUCUGCAAUUUAUUUUUCCUUAAAAGAACACGUCCAAAGCAGUCACGAUAAAAAGCUAACAUGGGACAUGUGGGUUGUGGAAUGUGGGUGUCUGUUUUAUUAAUUUCUGGACUUCUCUAUAUAUUUAAAGUAAUCACUUAAAAACACGAACCCUCUAUAUUUUAUAUUUAAUUCCAUUUUUCUGAGGACAUAUAGAAGAAACAGUUCUGCUCUCCUGGAGCUCGUUUAGGUAAGGAUGCAGGUUACUCUGUUUCCCUCCCCUCCCAGAUUCGUGCUCUGUCCUGCUGAGUCCUCCUUCUGUAAACAGAACUCUACCAACCAGUCUUCCUCCCUCUGCUAACAGUAUUUCCUGCUCUUGUCUCAACAGGCCCUGGGGGCGGUGACCGCUUCUCACCUUUGCUGAACUCUGGAUGUCUUACCAUACCUUGUUUGUUCCCUUGACCCUGCUGGAAACUCGAACAGUACCUUUGUUAAAAUGCUUGCAUUUUAACCACCUGGGAAGACACAAGAAGACAUUGUGAAAAAUCAAAAACAAUUCAUUUUUGUUUUUGUUUAGUUUAUAGAACUUCUUUGCUGUGGGUGAAAAGAUCGAUAAGGUGACCUUCUCCAUGUCCCAGCCUAUUUGCACUAUCUGAGCACGUGUGGUGGACAACUUCUUGAUGAAAAGAGAUCACGACUGACAUACACGGGGGGAAUUGCUCGUGCGCCAAAGAUCUUACGAUUCCUUGAAUGGUAUCAAUUGUGUUUUAUGAUUUCCUUGUUCAUCUACUUAGUUAAUUUCGAUUGAGUGGUGCUCUGCCCCAAGAACUGUGCCAGGUAAUGGGGAUACAUUACACGCUUCAGUAGACAGGGCAAACCUGAGAUGGGGUAAAUUCUAACGGAAGCAGAGAGUGCUAUGCGGUACCCAGGAGGGUUAUCCACCCAAAUCCUGUACUGUAAGAUAUGGUUUCCCAAAGGAAGUAACAUCUAAUCUGAAACCUGAAAUCUAUGUACUAGUGAGCCAGAUUAUGGACAACAGCCGGUGGGAGGGAAUGAGUCUUAGUUUUAAGGUAUUCUGGGCAGAGAGAAAAACAACUUGGGCAAAGACCAGCAGGGGAUAAAAAGCAUUUGGAAAAUUAGAAGCAUACCUCUUGGGUUAAUGUAUGGACUGCAGGAGAGGAGGAGAGUUGGGGCAGGAGAGGAAUGCAGAGGUCAGAUCACAAAAGGUCUUAUAAGUAAGUUUAAGGAUAUGAGUGCUAUUAUGAGGUCAGUGAAAAGCUGUUAAAUCUUGUAAAGUGGGUGGUGUCUAGCAAAAUGAUAUUUGCAUUUAAGAAAGAUUUACCCUGAGGAUGAACUUGAGAUAAGUAAGGGAGAUAUCUUAGUAGGUUCUCUGGAGUAACCCAGGCCAGAGAUGAUGAGCUGGGUUUGAGACAGUGAGGCUGGAAAGAGUGGCUGCAGCAGAAAGGAUGGCUCACGCGGGCCACCUGCUGUCAUUAUAGGCAGCAGUUAGGCAACUGCUGUCAUUAUAGGACAGCCCUGCAAAAUGCAAACUGUCCUUUCCUUGUUGGCCUUUAACCAGACUGUGAACGCCCUGCAGGCAGGGAAUAUUUUGUGUCCAUCUCUGUGUCUCUAGGACCUCAGCGGUGCUCAGGGAAUGAAUGUUCUUGAAUAAGUGGAUCUCGGCAACAUCGUAUUUUUUGAUACAAUGGUUACCCUCAUGACUUCCAGACCCAACACUUGUUAGGAGAGUUCUAUAAUGAUUGUGAAGUCAAUGUCUAGGGCUGUUCCAGAGGCACAUGAAGGCGUGGGUGCUUUAACUCAGUUCUCUGUGCAUAUUGAAACGUGCAGGCUGUUUUUCCCUGACUCAGUUCUCUUGUGCCAUCUGCCGGGAUGAGCAUUUCACAGCACACCAAAGUGAGAUGGCCAGUGAAGAAGACAAGCCGGAAAGCUCCGUGGGAGAAGUAGCAGACAAAACCCUGGACAGCCUUACAAUUUAGCCGGAGAAACAAGUCUUGUGCCCACGCAGCAAUCCCUGUGCGGUGAACCUUCCCAAGAUGUCCUGGGGUGUUUUCCCCAGACAAAUAUCCCUUUCUACCGGUUUGCGAGCAGACGAUCUUAACUUUCUGCAUUCUUCUUCAGCGUUUGCGACAACUUUACCAUACGAGACGUUAGUAUUAUUACAGGCUUUGAAAUGGGGAAAGAGAAGCAUGGAGAUUGAAAUAAAAUGCCAGCUCUGAGCUGGCCGGGUGGCCGGUCAGAAUAACUUUAAACAAGGAGCCGAGUCAGAACUGAAGCCUGUUUUACUCCCAGGUGCACACUGGACUCACAAAACAUCCCAAAGUAAGACGGAGGUCAAGAGGGGGCAGAGGUAAGCUGCUUGGUUGCAGCAUGGGCAGGGCGGGUCAGGCACGGAGCGGAAAAGUCCUCAGUGCACUUACAAUGCCGUUGUUGGUGCAGGGGUUAGAGGGGCCGGGGGAGCAGCGGGAACAAUUCUCCUGCAACGUGUGUUCCCCAAUGACAGGUCAAGGGCGUGUCCCCAAGGGAACAAAAUUUUGUAAUUCUAUGAAGAUUGAUAGAGCUUGCGCCUGGGCGGUACCGAAAACCUUUGGGGGACGUUGUCAAACAAUAGAUAUUGCUAUGGUGGUUGACAUGUGUAGUUAAAACAAAGAAACUAGCACACCAUCCUCUUCUCGUUGAAACUUAAGUUAUUCCUAUAUAAAUAUAUGCUUGUAUAAACAUACAAAUAUAUUCUUGGUGUCAAAACACCCAGCUCAGGUCAUGAUCUCAUGGUCAUGGGAUCGAGCCCCUCGUUGGUCUCUGUGCUGAGUAUGGAGCCUGCUUGGGAUUCUCUCCCUCUCCCUUGGCCCCCCUCCCCUGCUCUCUUUCUCUCUCUCUUUAAAAUAAAUAAAAAUAGGGGCGCCUGGGUGGCUCAGUCGGUUAAGCGGCCGACUUCGGCUCAGGUCAUGAUCUCGCGGUCCGUGAGCUCGAGCCCCGCGUCGGGCUCUGUGCUGACAGCUCAGAGCCUGGAGCCUGUUUCAGAUUCUGUGUCUCCCUCUCUCUGACCCUCCCCUGUUCAUGUUCUGUCUCUCUCUGUCUCAAAAUUUAUUUUAUUUUAUUUUUUUUAACAGAAGCUCAAGACUUUUAUUUAUUUAUUUUUUAUGAAAUUUAUUGACAAAUUGGUUUCCAUACAACACCCAGUGCUCAUCCCAAAAGGUGCCCUCCUCAAUACCCAUCACCCACCCUCCCCUCCCUCCCACCCCCCAUCAACCCUCAGUUUGUUCUCAGUUUUUAACAGUCUCUUAUGCUUUGGCUCUCUCCCACUCUAACCUCUUUUUUUUUUUUUCCUUCCCCUCCCCCAUGGGUUCCUGUUAAGUUUCUCAGGAUCCACAUAAGAGUNUGGAAUCUAAGUGAUCAGCAGGACGCGCGGUGAGCCCAGCGUCCUCCUACGCCGCCAUCUUCCUGCGCCUCCCUCCAUCUCUCUGUCUCAAAAUUUAAAAACAACAACAACAACAACAAAAAAACAAAAAAAAAAGUUAAAAAAAUAAACAAAAAUAAAAAUAAAAAACCCUAAAAAAGAAAAACCCAAACAACCCAAACAUUCGGGGAAAGCUCUAAUUCUCCUUUACUUUCCCCAGAGGUAUAGCAGUCAGUGGUAGGCUUCUAGAUCUUUUUCUAUGUGUUUACACACACGUGUUUUCCAAUGGGAGCAUGGAGUAUGGUUUAGUGUUUUAUCCCCCGUGUGAACGCUAUCUUGCUGGACUUCCCUGCCCUGCCUCUCCAACAGAGGGGCUCACGCUCGCUCUUCUGACUCACUGGGACUUGUAGUUUGAUUUGCAUGAGGCCCCUCCUAGAAUCUCCAUCUAAUUGCCUAAUGACAGUCAUCUUGGUCUCCUCAGACCAGGCCUCCAGGCUGGGAGGUCUCUGCAGCUUAUACCCAGCUUCACAAAGCUUGCUUUCUUUCUUGUAUCGCGGUAGAGCAUAUGUAACAUAAAAUCUUACUAUUUUAACCACUUUUAAGCGUGCAGUUCAGCGGCAUUAAGUACAUUUACAUUGUGUGUAACUAUUGACACCAUCCGUCUCCAGAACGUUUCCCAAACUCUGCACCCAUUAAACACUAGCUCCCCACUCCCCUUCCCUUAACCCCUGGCAACGAUCACUCCACUUUCUGUCUCUGUGAAGGGGAGUGAUACGGUAUUGGUCUGUGUGACUGGCUUAUUUAGCUUAGUGUGGCGUCCUCAAGGUUCAUCCAUGUUGUAGCAUGUGUUAGAAUUCCUUUCCAUUUAAAGGCUGAAUAAUAUUCCAUUUUAUGUAUACACUACAUUUUGUCCAUCCAUUCAUCCACUGAUGGACAUCUGGGCUGUUUCCUCCUCUUGGCUAUUGUGAAUAACUCUGCUAUGGGCACGAGUGUGUGAAGACGUGUUUGAUUCCCGGCUUUCAAUUCUGGUGGGUAAUUGCCCCAAAGUGAUGUAAUAGCUUUCUGAGCACACCCUAAGCUGUACUUUCCUUCUUCAGAUGGAUGCCCCCUGUUUUUUAGCUAUUUACCGAAGUUACCCACCUACCAGAGACAGUCCUCCUUGCUUUCUAGGACAGCGAUGUGUUGAAACAUAUGUAUUUCCAGUUCUAAAGAUUUUGGGGCAGGAGAGAGAGAGGCUGUUCUCAAAGUCCUGUACUUCAAGACUCAUUCAGGAGAUCCCCCUGCCAGGGCACCUGGGUGGCUCAGUCGGUUAAGCCUCUAACUCAUUUUGUUUUCUUUAAUUUUUAUUUAUUUUUGAGAGAGACAGUGUGAACGGGGUAGGGGCAGAGAGAGAGAGGGGGACAGAGGAUCUGAAGCAGGCUCCAGGCUCUGAGCUGUCAGCACAGAGCCUGACGCGGGGCUUGAACUCACUAGAGCUCCAUCUGACAGUACCGUGAACUACUUGAUGGGGAAGAUUGCCUGUUUUUAAUCUUUAGUCUGCUACAUUGUAUAGAAUGGUCAGUGUCUAUUUAAAAAUGAAAAAAAAAUUCAUUUUAUUUAUUUUAGAUAGGAGUAGGGGAGAGGGGCAGAGGGAGAAAGAAAGAGAAUCUUUAAAAAAUUUUUUUUAAAAUGUUUAUCUUAGGGAGGGGGAGGGGCAGAGAGAGGGAGACACAGAAUCCGAAGCAGGCUCCGGGCUCUGAGCUGUCAGCACAGAGCCCGAUGUGGGGCUUGAACCCAUGAACUGUGAGAUCAUGACCUGAGCUGAAGUCGGACGCUUAACCGACUGAGCCACCCAGGCGCCCCAAGAAAGAGAUAAUCUUAAGCAGGUUCCACACUCAGCAGGAGCCUGAUGCAGAGCUUGAUCCCACGACCCUGGGAUCAUGGCCUGAGCCAAAAUCGAGUCAUAUACUCAAGGAUGGACUGAGCCACUCAGGUGCCCCUACUUAGAAUAAAAAAAUUAAUUACAGAUAUCUUUACUAUUUACACACAGUUAAAUUUCUUUUUAAUAUUUAUUUUUGAGAGAGAGAAAGAGAGUGUACACACCUACAAGCAGGGGAGGGGCAGAGAGAGAGGGGGACAGAGGAGCCAAAGCGGGCUCUGUGCUGACAGCAGCGAGUCUGAUGCAGGGCUCACACUCACAAACUGUGAGAUCGUGACCUGAGCCGAAGUCAGACACUUAACCGACUGAGCCACUCAGGCGCCCCGAUAUUUGUACAGAGUUUAGAAAUUCAAACAACACGGGGCGCCUGGGUGGCUCAGUCGGUUGGGCGACCGGCUUCGGCUCAGGUCAUGAUCUCACAGUCUGUGAGUUCGAGCCCCACGUCGGGCUCUGUGCUGACAGCUCAGAGCCUGGAGCCUGUUUCAGAUUCUGUGUCUCCCUCGCUCUCUGACCCUCCCCCGUUCAUGCUCUCUCUCUGUCUCAAAAAUAAAUAAACAUAAAAAAAAAAAAGAAAUUCAAACAACAAAUGAAAAGUUGACAAACCUUAACCCAGCCCUCCCCAUCUUGGUACUAAUCUCUGGAAGGAAACAACUGUGUUUCAGUUUUCAGGUCUCUGAGUAUUAAUCUGCUUCUCUAGAUAAUAAACACCCACCACUACCCAAUCAAUCUCAUAGAAUAUUUUCUAUUAGUUUUUGCUUUGGUAGAAUUUAGUUCUCCUCUCCCAUCACCCACCUUUCUGCCUCCGUUGGUUGCCAUCCUCACCCCUCCCUAUCUCUAUGCCCAUUGGCUUUGCAGACCCUCCCUCCUCUGUGACUCACCCUUUGACUGUGGGCCCAGCCAUGUGAUAUCCUUUGGCUAAUGGGAUGUUCGUAGACACGAUGCAGUCAGGGAUUAGAGGAUUGCUUGUGCGGUGGAAUCUGCUCUCUUGUACCUCUGCCAUCACCUGAUGAGCCUGCUGGUCUCCAGAGAAGGAUAAAAGAUGUGGGGCAAAGCUCUUCCAGUGGACUCCUAGACCCACAGAAGGAAGCAAAGCUAUCUAGCCAGACUGCGCCUAGAUCAGCUGAACUCCAGCUCAUUUGCAGGUGGGCAAGUGGUAAUAAAUGAUUGUUGUAUUAAGCUGCUGAGUUUUGGGGUAAUUUGUUACUCAGUGAUAGCUAACCAAUAUACACACCCAACUUCCCUGCCCCGUCCUCCUCCUCCUCCUCCUCCAGUUAUAUCCUCAUUUUUGUUCCUCUGCUGUUACCAUUUUAACCCUCUUCAUUCCAUUAGUUGUUGGUGGGAUCCCUUCUCUCCCCAUUUUGUAUGAUAACUUUAUUCUCACUCCUCUUCCACCCCCUCACCACUUUCCGACUCCUGGUUUCCAUCAACUAUACCUUAGCUUUCACACUGGGAGGUUUACAUUCAUUAACAUUUUGUCCAUAGCAAAAAUUUUGGACACUUGCUGCUUUCUAAGUCCAUUAUGUUCCUGUGGAGGAAAAUGGAGAAAAGAUUAUUUUAGAGAGCCGAUUCACAACUUCUUAUGAACUGGUGUAGUGUGUUUUCCUUCUUUAAAAUCAAAGGAUCCCGGAUUAAUAUACCUUCAGUCCUGUCAAAGCUCCUGAAGACUGUAAUGUAAGGAGAAGGGAAGGGAGGGUUGACUGUCAGAACAUUACUGUGCAUUGAGUUAGGUUGGGCUAUUAGUGAAGAUACUAGGAAAUAGAGUGUUUCCUGUGUUGACAAUACAUUUCAGUUGUCACACACAUUUGUGCUACUAGCAGAUGACUAGGUGAUAGCAGUUUAAUAAAACACCUGAACUUUACAAAGGUCUUUAAAAAUUUUUUAUUUUAACGUUCAUUUAUUUUUGAGAGACACAGAGACAGAGUGUGAGUAGGGGAGGGGCAGAGAGAGAGGGAGACAUAGAAUCCAAGGCAGGCUCCAGCUCUGAGCUGUCAGCACAGAGCCUGACAACAGGGCUCGAACCCACAAACUGUGAGAUCAUGAGUGGAAGUCAGAUGGUUAACUGACUGAGCCACCCAGGCACCCCCAAAGUUCUAUUUUAACUAAUAAAAAUAAAUUAAGCCAACUUGGGCGUUGUGCCCAGGAAAUCUGUAUGACAUAUAAUUGUAAGAAGAAUACUCUCUAUUGAUACCUUUGACCACUGAUCUUUACCAGUUACAAUGAAAAAUUGGAGGUGAAAAUGUGUAGAUAUUUUAUAAGAUUUGGGCUUGGAGGUGGUGAUGUUAGAAACUGGAAUUCUCAAUCUGUAGGAAUGCUAUCCUUGGGUUUUUGGAAUCUUUUAGAUCUUUUCCGACCCCUCCACACCUACAAGGGACAGGGAAUGGAAUGCGUUGACUUCUGUCCCAGGACAUUGGCUCCUUUUAUUUUCCUCAUAUUCUCUGGAAUCAUGAAGAGAGCACCAGUUGGGGGUUAGGCAGUUUUAGGUCAGAACAGCCAUGUUACCACAUGCUGGCACGUGUAAACGUGGGCAAGUGCCUUAACUUCUUUUAAUUUACAGUUUCCUCAACUGAUGAAAAGAAAUGCAUACCUUCUAAGUCGUGCUGUGAAGAGUAAAUAAGCUAAGGUAUACAUAGCGCUUCACAUUCCUGAAUCAAAGAGGAUACAUAACAAAAGGUAGCUGCCUUUGUUACCAUCCUUAUUCAUCAGCUUGAGACACAGAUUUCUUUUAAUAUUUAACUGAAGUCAUUCUAUUAUCCCGGACUGCUUACAGUGAGAAUGUAUCUUUUCUUUUCCUGCUAUCCUCUUUCCUGUGAUAACUCCCACCAGAGGUACUCCAAGAUUCCUGGAUACUAUCGUCUUCAGCAGAGAAAACCCGGAAAACCAUGGUGUUCAGGAUUUUUGACUGUCGUUGCUGGUCCUGCCACAUGGUGUCGCUGUUGAGACAGACAACCUUGCCCCGCUUGCCAUCCUCCUGGCCCCAGCCCAGCGACCUUAGGGGAAAGAGGCAGGCACCUGUGUGGAACUAUGGAACGCAGUGAUCUGAGAACAGCUGCUGUACCCUAUUUCAGCAUCCUGGAGAGAUCACCUCUAUUUAGGUACCUGUGUUGGAAGCAAAGCUGUAGGACUAUCACGUGUGCAAGAGGCAACUUGACCCCCACACAUGCUGCCCGUGGCUGGGGCUCAGUCCUGCUUCCUCGCUUACUUCUCAGAUCUUUCAGAGAUACAUCCGGAAGCUCCUUGAUAGAUAGCUUUUUUGCAUGUGGAUGGUUACCACCAUGCUCAAGUAAUUAGCAUCUUCCCCCUGGCAGUAUUGACUAGCAGGUUCCUGCUACAAAGAUGCCCUUGUAGGAGAGCCGCUGUGACAAAAAGUUGGAAAACCCAUCCUUCUGGGGGCACAUCUCUGCACAGAUGAAUUCCUUGGGCCCAGCUGCCUCUACCCACACUCAUGCAAAUAGGCUGCAACCAGGAGACAGACAGCGCUGAAGAAAUGGUGGAUUCAUAUCAGCAGCUGACUCCUGUCACUACAGCCAGACCUCAGGUCUUUAAAAGUAAAGAGGGUGCCUGCCGUGGGAAGGAUGCUCACGAAGAGAUACCCAACAUACCGUCUAAUCCAGAGAGCAAGUUGCCAGCUUAGAUGUACAAUAUGAGUCCAUUUUCGCUAUUUUUUCUUUUAUACUUUUCUAUUGCCUGAAUUUAUUUUUUUAAAUUUUUUUUUUCAACGUUUAUUUAUUUUUGGGACAGAG
rnacentral:lncRNA from 1 species